AGCAACUUCUCUAUAUUGAAGGCCCAAGGGGCAUAUAUAUAUUACACAUGACUUGAGGUGCAAGAAAAGUAAACAUAGACUAAUAAGGACUCCUAGACUCCUAGACCAAUACUAAUACUUCCUAACACCCCCCCCCCCCCUCAAACUGCAAUAGUGUUGGUCUAGGAGUGUCGUCGUAGCAUGAAGAGUCUUCAAAACUUGUCGAGUCGCCGAAGGAGAGAACGAAGAGAUGGCACAUCAGAGGUAGACACCGCAUCACUUGAAGAUACAAGAUAAGUAUCAAGAGAAGAUGGGCUAUCAAAAGAAGAUGGCACAUCAAGAGGAAGACACCGAAGAGAUGGCACAUCAGAGGAAGACACCGCAUCACUUGAAGAUACAAGAUAAGUAUCAAGAGAAGAUGAGUUGUCAAAAAAAAAAGAUGGCACAUCAAGAGAAUAAAGCAUUGUGCAGAAAAUCAUAGUCCACGACAACCGACGGCCAAAGAAGCUCGGCGGAUAAGGCACGAUGGACGUAGAUCGACAAUGCAAAAGAAGUCCAGAAAAUCCUAUAGAAAACAACAAGGGCAAAUAGGCCACAAAAGUUGCAUAGAAAGGAUCAGGAUCAGGACCAAAGAAAAGGCUGACGGACAAAGGUAUGAUGGACUCGCAUGGCAUGAGAAAACACAAAAUAUCAACGGAUUUGGUGGACGCAGCGGAAAAUAUAGAAAACUAGAAAACACACACUAGAUUAGGGAUGAUGACAGCGAAAGAGAAAAAAUAAUAUCAUGGCGAAGAGAAUAGCAGUAGCACGCGAGCUGGACGUGCGGGAGCAGAACAUGCAAUCGGAAGCUAGGCAGUACACGCCACGACAAGGUAGCAUGCAGCAGCAAGCAGCACGUGUGUAGGAGAGGCAGCGGUGGCCAAUAGCAUCAUGUAGCAGCAUGAGCAGAACCACCACAUAGCAGCAGUUUUUUUUUUGCUCUUUUUUUUUAGAAAGUAACUAGUCAACGGGAUCGAGGCUUGGACGAGAUCGAGGGGCUCCCUCCAGCCACGAGACGGACAGAUCGAGGGGCUCCCUCCAGCCUGGCCUGCUUCCCACGAGACGGCUCCCUCCAGCCACGAGACGGACAGAUCGGCAGAUAGGCAGAUGGCGGUGAUGGGGACAGGAUCCAGCAGGCCCGCGCCAGAAGUCGGAUCGGGAGCCAGCGGCCAGGGAGAGCUGCAGAAGACCUGCGGGCCUGCAGGAGAGGUAGCAGCAGGAGGAUGCGAUCCGCCAACGCUGGCGUUGACGCGAGAUCCGGCAGCAGGACGGGGAGCAGCAGCCUCAAUCCCGGCCAGGAGCGGGACGAGCUCGAGCGGGACCGGUAGCUGCGAUCGGGGUGGAGGAGAUCGGCCAGGGAGGCCCGCUGCGAGCGAGACGAGACUGAAUCGGGAGGGCGAGUUGCGGUGCCCUAAAAAAAUAACCUAAGCUCUAAUACCAUGUUAGGAAAGCAACUUGUCUAUAUUGAAGGCCCAAGGGGCAUAUAUAUAUUACACAUGACUUGAGGUGCAAGAAAAGUAAACAUAGACUAAUAAGGACUCCUAGACUAAUACUAAUAGACUAAUAAGGACUCCUAGACCAAUACUAAUACUUCCUAACAGUUACAACAAUCUUGUUUGCUAUUUUGCAAAUAAAAGAACAAUCAAAUAAAAUAAAGGUGUCCAUUGGUUUGACCCGUCCUAUGUCACCAAGAGCAUUAAAUUUUCUCUUCCCCUCCCAACUGAGCAACCACUAACGGUCUCACACAACAGGGAGAGAGGAGAAGGGGGUCGAACAAGAGGGCGAGACAGGACUUGGAGAAGGUGAGAAAAGGCAUCAUAAUUGGGCUACCACCCAAGAUGGAUGUUGCUCAUGUUAGGAAAGCAACUUGUCUAUUAUUGAAGGCCCAAGGGGCAUAUAUAUAUUACACAUGACUUGAGGUGCAAGGAAGUAAACAUAGACUAAUAAGGACUCCUAGACUAAUACUAGUAGACUAAUAAGGACUCCUAAUACUAAUACUUCCUAACACCCCCCCCCCCCUCAAAUGCAAAGCGUAUGCAAUAGCAUUGCAUUUGAAGAAGUGUAAUACUAAAAACAAUGAUAAUCCAAAUCCGCGUCUUGAGAGUGUCGUCGUAGCAUGAAGAGUCUUCAAAACUUGUCGAGUCGCCGAAGGAGAUAACGAAGAGAUGGCACAUCAGAGGUAGACACCGCAUCACAUGAAGUUACAACAAAAGUAUCAGCAGAAGAUGGGUUGUCAAAAGAAGAUGGCACAUCGAGAGGAAUAAAGCAUUGUGCAGAAAAUCAUACUCCACGACAACCGUCGGCGAAGGAAGCUCGGCGGAUAAGGCACGAUGGACGUAGAUCGACAAUGCAAAAGAAGUCCAGAAAAUCCUAUAGAAAACAACAAGGGCAAAUAGGCCACAAAAGUUGCAUAGAAAGGAUCAGGACCGGAGAAAGGCUCACAGACUAAGUUAUGGUGGACUCGCAUGGCAUGAGAAAACACAAAAUAUCAACGGAUUUGGUGGACGCAGCGGAAAACAAAGAAAACUAGAAAAUACACACUAGAUUAGAGAUGAUGGCAGCGGAAGAGAAAAAAUAAGAUCAUGGCGGCGAAGGCCAAUUCCAACCAGAGUGUGCGUGAGACGGUCCUGACUGUGUAGGAGGUGGUUGCUCAAUGCGGGAAGCCUGAGUCAGAAUACCAGCAGUACCCGUCGAGAAAGAACCUAAAGCAGCGAGCAGACGCUUAAGUCGCAGAAUAUCCUGCUCAGUCAAAGCGAUGGCUGAAGCUGUCGAGGUAGAUGACGAAGUCUCUGUAGAUGAUGAUUGCGCCUGGCGCAAGUGGUUCUUCUUCGUGUAGCAGUGGGACUCAAUAUGACCAUCAUUGUUGCAGUAGCCACAAUGUGGACGGGGGCGACCUGAGCCUCCAGAAGGAGUGGGUAAGAGCGACGGAGCACUCGAGUGAGAAGGGGUCGGUGCAGCAGGGGGCGUAGAAGUAGCCCGAGUAGUGAGCACCGAGGGAACCUCCAGCAAACCAGCACCACGUAAGCGAGUCUCCUCAGCACGAAUCUCAGAAAGCGCCUCCAUGAGAGAAAUACGGCCACGAGCAAACAACUGAGCACGCCGAGGCUCAAACUCCUUACGGAGCCGAGACAGGAAUUCGUAGACGCGAUGAAACUCUAAGUUGGUCUGGACAGCCUGGCAACAGGGGCAAGUACGACAACCAGCAGUGCGGAGAGAAUCGAGCUGGCGCCAGAUAGCAGAACUCUGUGCAUAGAAGUCAUCAACAGUAGAGUCACCUUGCUGAAGAGCAUGCUCCUGACGAACCACGGAGAGGUAUAAGGCAUCACCAGAGGGCGCAUAGCGCUGACGAAGGCGAGUCCACAUCUCAAAGGCAGUAGGAAGGCCCAAAAACUCAGAGGCAAACUGAGGCAGAACACUAGCAUUGAGAACAGCUGCAGCACGGGCAUCAUCAUCAAGCCACUGGGUGUAAAUGGUCAGAGCACCACGAUACACCUGAAGAGCCUCCUCAUAAGCCAAGACCUUCUCAUCAUAAGCACUCACAGCGGCCUCAUCAGCAAGUUUAGCCGAAUCCUUUGCGGUCUGAGAAGCAUCCGUAGGAAGAGCCGGUGGGGUCGGCGGAGUGGGAGCCACGGGAGGAACCGGACAUGGCGGACAGCAGACCUCGCCAGAAAGAACACCCCAUAGACGGAUGCCACGCAUGUGAAUGCGCAUAAAGCCAAUGAACUCAGUGUAGUUACUACCAUCGAAGAUCACCGAACAACGAGGGACAGCAACAUAGCCCGAUGCAGUAGACAUCUUCUUCUUCUUCUUCUUUCUUUAAUUUUUUUUUAGAACUCAGUCAGCAAACCGCGUCCACGUAUGACAGCAGCCGACUCGAUCUGGCGAGAUGUAGCGUCAGAUCUGGCUGCAGCGGACUCGAUCUGGCUCUAUUGAACUCGAUCCCUCUGCCAGACUGGUUGUAGCAGACUCAAUCCCUCUGCCAGAUGCGAGCUGCAGCGGCUACUAGUUGUAGACAGCCUCGAGCUGGAGCGACCAAAGCUGCUGGCGACCUUGAAGCAGAACCGGGCGAAGCAGGAUGGGAGACCAAAGCUGCUGGUGGCGUACAGCAGCGGGAAGGGGCGGCGGCGUCCAGAUCGAUCCCCUGCUGGGCUCUCCGCCUUCGUUCCUUCAGGGUCGAGACAGGUGGAGUCGGCCUCCAGAUCGAGGCAGCGGCGAGGACGAGAUAUCCUGCAGCCAGGGAGAAAACGGAUCAGGAGCGUGAUCCAGCGGCGUUGGACAGACCGCGGCGGGGUGGGGCAGGCUGGAGACGCGGCUGCAGCACGAGCACGACGCGAGAGGAAGCGUCGGCGAGAGAGGCUGUAGCGAGAGCGUCGGGUUAGAGGAAAAAGCACGAGUUGCGCGUGCGAAAAAAAGAACCUAGGGCUCUAAUACCAUGUUAGGAAAGCAACUUGUCUAUUAUUGAAGGCCCAAGGGGCAUAUAUAUAUAUUACACAUGACUUGAGGUGCAAGGAAAGUAAACAUAGACUAAUAAGGACUCCUGGACUAAUACUAGUAGACUAAUAAGGACUCCUAAUACUAAUACUUCCUAACAGCUC
rnacentral:lncRNA from 1 species